rnacentral:rRNA from 1 species
GAUGAACGCUGGCGGCGUGCCUAAUACAUGCAAGUCGAGCGAACAGACGAGGAGCUUGCUCCUCUGACGUUAGCGGCGGACGGGUGAGUAACACGUGGAUAACCUACCUAUAAGACUGGGAUAACUUCGGGAAACCGGAGCUAAUACCGGAUAAUAUAUUGAACCGCAUGGUUCAAUAGUGAAAGAGGGUUUUGCUGUCACUUAUAGAUGGAUCCGCGCCGCAUUAGCUAGUUGGUAAGGUAACGGCUUACCAAGGCUACGAUGCGUAGCCGACCUGAGAGGGUGAUCGGCCACACUGGAACUGAGACACGGUCCAGACUCCUACGGGAGGCAGCAGUAGGGAAUCUUCCACAAUGGGCGAAAGCCUGACGGAGCAACGCCGCGUGAGUGAUGAAGGUCUUCGGAUCGUAAAACUCUGUUAUUAGGGAAGAACAAAUGUGUAAGUAACUAUGCACGUCUUGACGGUACCUAAUCAGAAAGCCACGGCUAACUACGUG